GUCCACGCCGUAAACGAUGAGUGCUAGUUGUUGGGAAGUUUACUUCUCAGUGACGCAGCUAACGCGAUAAGCACUCCGCCUGGGGAGUACGGCCGCAAGGUUAAAACUCAAAGGAAUUGACGGGGGGCCCCGCACAAGCGGUGGAGCAUGUGGUUUAAUUCGAAGCAACGCGAAGAACCUUACCAGCCCUUGACAUGGGUAUCGCGAGAUCCAGAGAUGGAUUUCUUCAGUUCGGCUGGAUACCACACAGGUGCUGCAUGGCUGUCGU
rnacentral:rRNA from 1 species